UUCCAGACUCCUACGGGAGGCAGCAGUGAGGAAUAUUGGUCAAUGGGCGGGAGCCUGAACCAGCCAAGCCGCGUGAGGGAAGAAGGUACAGCGUAUCGUAAACCUCUUUUGUCAGGGAACAAAGGCGGGGACUAGUCCCCGGAUGAGGGUACCUGAAGAAAAAGCAUCGGCUAACUCCGUGCCAGCAGCCGCGGUAAUACGGAGGAUGCGAGCGUUAUCCGGAUUUAUUGGGUUUAAAGGGGGCGAAGGCGGCCGGUUAAGUCAGCGGUAAAACCCCGGGGCGCACCCCCGGCGAGCCGUUGAAACUGGCGGGCUGGAGUUGGAGAGAAGUACGCGGAAUGCGCGGUGUAGCGGUGAAAUGCUUAGAUAUUGCGCAGAACUCCGAUUGCGAAGGCAGCAUACCGGCGGCGAUCUGACGCUGAGGCACGAAAGCGUGGGUAUCGAACAGGAUUAGAUACCCCUGUAGG
rnacentral:rRNA from 1 species